rnacentral:rRNA from 1 species
GGAGUGCUUGCACUCUGUGAAACAAGAUACAGGCUAGCGGCGGACGGGUGAGUAACACGUGGGUAACCUGCCCAAGAGAUCGGGAUAACACCUGGAAACAGAUGCUAAUACCGGAUAACAACAGAUGAUGCCUAUCAACUGUUUAAAAGAUGGUUCUGCUAUCACUCUUGGAUGGACCUGCGGUGCAUUAGCUAGUUGGUAGGGUAACGGCCUACCAAGGCGAUGAUGCAUAGCCGAGUUGAGAGACUGAUCGGCCACAUUGGGACUGAGGCACGGCCCAAACUCCUACGGGAGGCAGCAGUAGGGAAUCUUCCACAAUGGACGCAAGUCCGAUGGAGCAACGCCGCGUGAGUGAAGAAGGGUUUCGGCUCGUAAAGCUCAGUUGUUGGUGAAGAA